rnacentral:lncRNA from 1 species
GCAAAACUGUGUUGAAUGAACUGUAGAUGGAAAUUCUCUCCUUCCCACCGAGGAGCCGCUGCAGGUUGCAGACUCCCAGAAUGCCACACUGAGAAGAGGAGGGCUAAAAUUCUAGAGCAGAAUCCCUGGGGCAGCCCCUGCUGAAGAAGGGUGCAUCUGUUGAGAAUCUCAUCACCGCCCCCACCCCGCCCAGCCUUCAAUUUAGAGGAAUUUCUAGUUCACGCAGAAUGAAGACAAGAUCACAUAAGUGAGGACGACGCCCCAUUUACAAGUGUGGUUUGGAAGACUGAAGUGGAAACCUUGGGAAGGUGGGCCUCAGAGUAUGUCAGCUGGGGUCAGACGGGAACAGGAGUCUGGCUCAACACACAUUUAUUGCACUCCUGCUUCAUGCCAAGAAAUGCACCAAAAUCUGGGACUGUGUAACACAGCAAAGGAAAAGACUCAUCUCCAGGAAGCCCCCUUGUCUAGGAAGAGAAAUUGAAUAUCAGCAUAAGGUGGUGAAAAGCUAUGAAGGAGAUGAGUGCCACGAGUCCAUGGAGGAAGGAUUCUAGCCUGGACAGGUGAUUGUGGUGAAUAGUCAUGAGAAUCUGGGAACUGGCUCCUGCUCUGUCUAUCUUGGAGAUGCAUCUUUUGUGAGAGGACAGGGCAAGAAUAGGGAGGCUUAGGCAAUGGGGAGUUUCUGAGUAGAUAAAGCAGAUGGCAGAGCAAAGGGACAGAGCCUGGCGAGAGGCUACUCCCUGUAGCAACCUGCCUAAGAGUGAGAGGAAAGCAAGGCAUGGCUAUGAGCACAUGUAGUCUCAGCUACCUGGGAAGCUGAGGCUGGGAGAUCACUUGAGCCCGGGAGUUCAAGACCAGCCUAGGCAACAUAGUGAGACCAU